UACAAUAAGGAACCGGCCACUCCAUUACGGCUGCCGCGGGAAUUCUGAGGAUUCGAGGGUUAUCCGGAAUUAUUGGGUUUAAAGGGUGGGCAGACGGGUAAUUCAGUGGGCUGUGAAAUUUUUUGCCUUCACUGUUGCAGUGCCUGUGAGACUGAUUAGCUAGGAUUAUUCCGAAGGGAGCGGAAUGUUGGGUGUAGCUGGUGAAAUAGCUUCAUUUGCCAAAGAAACUCUAUUGCUAACGACGCACACUAAGGCACUAUUGACUGUGAAGCAAGAAAGAUUGGGGACCCAACAAGACCACAUACCCUGGUAUGCCACCCUGUAAACGAAGAUAUCUACUUGCUGUGGAUACCAUUUCAGUCGUCCAAGCGAACGCAUUGAGUUAUCCACCCGGGGAGUACAACCUCAAGGAAG
rnacentral:rRNA from 1 species